rnacentral:rRNA from 1 species
CUCCAGACUCCUACGGGAGGCAGCAGUGAGGAAUAUUGGUCAAUGGGCGGGAGCCUGAACCAGCCAAGCCGCGUGAGGGAAGAAGGUCCAGCGUAUCGUAAACCUCUUUUGUCAGGGAACAAAGGCGGGGACUAGUCCCCGGAUGAGGGUGCCUGAAGAAAAAGCAUCGGCUAACUCCGUGCCAGCAGCCGCGGUAAUACGUAGGGGGCGAGCGUUAUCCGGAUUUACUGGGUGUAAAGGGAGCGUAGACGGUGUUUCAAGUCUGAAGUGAAAGCCCGCGGCUCAACUGCGGAACGGCUUUGGAAACUGAGGGACUAGAGUGCUGGAGGGGCAGGCGGAAUUCCUGGUGUAGCGGUGAAAUGCGUAGAUAUCAGGAGGAACACCGGUGGCGAAGGCGGCCUGCUGGACAGUAACUGACGUUGAGGCUCGAAAGCGUGGGGAGCAAACAGGAUUAGAUACCCCCGUACA